rnacentral:rRNA from 1 species
GACGGAGGGUGCAAGCGUUGUUCGGAUUGACUGGGCGUAAAGGGCGUGUAGGCGGUUGGUCAAGUCUGAUGUGAAAGCCCGGGGCUCAGCCCCGGAAGGGCAUCGGAAACUAGCCAGCUGGAGCGCGAUAGAGGAGGGUGGAAUUCCUGGUGUAGCGGUGAAGUGCGUAGAUAUCAGGAGGAACACCGGCGGCGAAGGCGGCCCUCUGGAUCGUUGCUGACGCUGAGACGCGAAAGCGUGGGGAGCAAACAGG